CGAGCCGCGGCCCGGGCGGGCUGCUCGGCGCGGAUGGCUCCCUAAUGAGUAGAAUGAGACCUGUGUGCCAACCCUGGCCUAGUCCUCAUGCCCCCACAACUGUGAAGCGAGAGGGCUCAACAGUUUCGAAUUCAAUUCAACCACCACCUCCUGAAUACCAACUAGGUUCCAGGACCUGGCUAGAAGCAGAGACACCAGGACAGAAAAGACAGUGUUCUGCUUUCAUGGAGUUCACAGAAGAGUCGAGGAGAGCUUCACAUUUUUCAUCCAUUCUUAAAAUUGAGCCAGUUUAGCCCUAGGAGGUGGGCAGGCUCUGAGGAAUCAUCAAUCAAGAGAAGAGAACAUCGCCAGAAACACAUGUGUCCUUUGAGGGGUCAAAUGGUGAGACGACAGCAGUUUAGGAACUGUUUGCCCAUUACACUGGGUACUCAGAAACUGUUCUAUUCAAGCUAAACCACAAGACCUAUGGACUUAGGAAGAAAUUACAUAGUAAGUGUGAAAAAUUCUAUAAAAAUACCUUUUUUGAGUCAUUAACAUAAAAUGAAGAAAACAGCAGCAGCCAAGAAGAGAGAUGUUGAAAUUUAAGAGAGGAAGACAGAGAAGAAAAAUCCACUGGAUACCUUAUGUGUAAUUCACCAAUCUGUUGGAACACUUCUGCCACGUGUGAAGAGUUUUGGCAGACCAAAUCCACAUGCCUGAAGUGAUGCCCACCAACAAAGACAUAAAAAUUUUCAACAUUUCAACAGCCAUGUUGGAAUCAUCUGCAGAAUACCGAAAAAGUGCCCAGUUGGAGAUUUCAUAAAAAUAACAGGCAAUCACACACGUUGCAGGAACUGUGUACAGUACUGAGAACACCCCAAUCUUGACCAUCAGUCUUUCUAACUUGUCUGUCUUUGUCCCAUCCUUUUGAAGAUUUGACCGAAUUUUGAACAAGGCCACCAAACCUGCAGCAAUGAACAAAGUUCCAAUGACCAAAUAAGUAAAGAGGGGAGCCACCACGAACCCGGUGAGGGCAUCGAGAUUUUGGUUUCCAACAUAGCACAAGCCAGUCAGUUCAUCUGCAUCCACCAGUCUCAUAAUCAAGAUGACAAUGGUUUUCACUGCGGGGAUGGCCCAGGCUGCAAUGUGGAAAUAAGAGCUGUGCAUUUCAAUGGCUUCAUGACCCCAUUUGAGUCCUGCUGCCAAAAACCAAGUGAGUGUCAGAAUAACCCACCAAAUGGAGCUGGCCAUUCCAAAAAAGUACAU
rnacentral:lncRNA from 1 species